rnacentral:rRNA from 1 species
AUUGAACGCUGGCGGCAUGCCUUACACAUGCAAGUCGAACGGCAGCACGGGAGCUUGCUCCUGGUGGCGAGUGGCGAACGGGUGAGUAAUGCAUCGGAACGUACCCGGAAGUGGGGGAUAACGUAGCGAAAGUUACGCUAAUACCGCAUACUCUGUGAGCAGGAAAGAGGGGGAUCGCAAGACCUCUCGCUUUCGGAGCGGACAAUGUCGGAUUAGCUAGUUGGUGGGGUACAGGCCUACCAAGGCGACGAUCCGUAGCGGGUCUGAGAGGAUGAUCCGCCGCACUGGAACUGAGACACGGUCCAGACUCCUACGGGAGGCAGCAGUGGGGAAUUUUGGACAAUGGGCGAAAGCCUGAUCCAGCCAUGCCGCGUGAGUGAAGAAGGCCUUCGGGUUGUAAAGCUCUUUCGGCUGAAAAGAAAUCGCACAGGCUAAUACCCUGUGUGGAUGACGGUAUCAGCAUAAGAAGCACCGGCUAACUACGUGCCAGCAGCCGCCGUAA